rnacentral:rRNA from 1 species
CCUACGGGAGGCAGCAGUGAGGAAUAUUGGUCAAUGGACGAGAGUCUGAACCAGCCAAGUAGCGUGAAGGAUGACUGCCCUAUGGGUUGUAAACUUCUUUUAUAUGGGAAUAAAAUGUUCCACGUGUGGGAUUUUGUAUGUAACAUAUGAAUAAGGAUCGGCUAACUCCGUGCCAGUAGCCGCGGUAAUACGGAGGAUCCGAGCGUUAUCCGGAUUUAUUGGGUUUAAAGGGAGCGUAGGUGGAUGGUUAAGUCAGUUGUGAAAGUUUGCGGCUCAACCGUAAAAUUGCAGUUGAAACUGGUAGUCUUGAGUACAGUAGAGGUGAGCGGAAUUCGUGGUGUAGCGGUGAAAUGCUUAGAUAUCACGAAGAACUCCGAUUGCGAAGGCAGCUCACUGGACUGCAACUGACACUGAGGCUCGAAAGUGUGGGUAUCAAACAGGAUUAGAUACCCCGGUAGUC